rnacentral:lncRNA from 1 species
AUUUAUAAUGGAGGCAAGCCUAAAAUGCUGUGAGAUUAAAGAAGAUGGAGUAAUUAAUUGCUUGGGGCUGGGAAUUCAUGGAAGUCUUCAUAGAGGAGGUACGCAAUCCAGUGAUUGAAAAUUAAUUCACCUUAGUCAGAAGACAGUUAAUUCCUGACACUGCAACAAUUUGUCUUGUCAAGAUGUGAUAUUUGCAGAGAACUAGAAUAGCAUGACAACAAAAACCCUUCUGACUUGUGGGAUUUCAAACAAAAAGGUUAAAAUUGCAUUCUGCAGCUAUACAAAUUAGCAUAGACCUUCA